UCACAUUAUUUUUUUUUUAACUGGUUCUUCUUCACCCCCUCUUUUCCGUCUCCAUAAUGUCUCUCUCUGUACCCACACUCAAGCUUCUUUCAUCCUUCUCUCUCUCAUUCCUAUUCUCUCUCUUUUUCCUCGACUUCUCCAUUUCCCAUCCCUCCAUCUUCUUCUCUUUUGGGCGGGAUAUUUCCCCUCCAUUUUUUAAAUGAAAAAGAGGAUAUCAGUCUCCCUAUUUCAAGAGCCUCACCUCCCUCAUUUAUCUCUCCCUUCUUCCAAGCACACCCUAAAACUACAGCUUCUCUCUCCACAUUUUCUCAAACCCUAACCUCCUUUUCUGCAAACCAAACCUUAAUCUUCCAUCAUCAACCCAUAAGACCUUGCAACCAUGGAUUUAUUGCAUCACCAAAAGGGUAGCAACACCGAUCUUGGUGCCGACACAUCAAGGACCCAAGAUCUGUACAAAAAAAAAGAAAAAAGACGAUGCAACCACUGGUACAGCCCCAAAUCGCAUCUCAAGGAAAAACCACCAGAGAAUUGUCUCCGUUCUAGAUCCGUCAUUUAAAGUAAGAUCAACAGUUCGAAAAUCCAUAUAAAAAUUCAUGCAUGUUCAUUUUGGAUCUGAAGAGCAAGGACACUGGAAAUUUCAGAUCCAUAAUUUUUGAAAGGUAUAAAACCUGAAUUUAAUCUAUAGAGAUUAGAGCCCUAAUGUUGAAGUAGUAAAGUAUUGGAGCAUUGAUCUGAUGGCAAUCAUGGUUGCAUGGAGCUACUAGUAUUAUAUAUGGCAGCAUGGAGCUACAGAAUCUGUGGUCUUCGACAAAGGCAAGCAUGGGAACGCAUCAUGGCAGCUGCUAGUAUUAUAUGCAAGCAUGGAGCUCUGAUUAGUAUUAUAUGUAAUUGUUAGUUUUUUUAUCUUCAUCUUGUAACCGGUUCUCUAAUAGCUUUGUACUUACUUGUUUAUAUGAAAUAGAAUGCAUUUAACAAGAAA